rnacentral:rRNA from 1 species
AACGCUAGCUACAGGCUUAACACAUGCAAGUCGAGGGGAAACGAUAGAGAAAGCUUGCUUUUUCUAGGCGUCGACCGGCGCACGGGUGAGUAACGCGUAUCCAACCUGCCCACCACUUGGGAAUAACCUUGCGAAAGUAAGACUAAUACCCAAUGAUAUCUCUAGAAGACAUCUGAAGGAGAUUAAAGAUUUAUCGGUGAUGGAUGGGGAUGCGUCUGAUUAGCUUGUUGGCGGGGUAACGGCCCACCAAGGCUACGAUCAGUAGGGGUUCUGAGAGGAAGGUCCCCCACAUUGGAACUGAGACACGGUCCAAACUCCUACGGGAGGCAGCAGUGAGGAAUAUUGGUCAAUGGGCGAGAGCCUGAACCAGCCAAGUAGCGUGCAGGAUGACGGCCCUAUGGGUUGUAAACUGCUUUUAUAAGGGAAUAAAGUGAGCCUCGUGAGGCUUUUUGCAUGUACCUUAUGAAUAAGGACCGGCUAAUUCCGUGCCAGCAGCCGCGGUAAUACGGAAGGUCCGGGCGUUAUCCGGAUUUAUUGGGUUUAAAGGGAGCGUAGGCCGGAGAUUAAGCGUGUUGUGAAAUGUAGAUGCUCAACAUCUGCACUGCAGCGCGAACUGGUUUCCUUGAGUACGCACAAAGUGGGCGGAAUUCGUGGUGUAGCGGUGAAAUGCUUAGAUAUCACGAAGAACUCCGAUUG